rnacentral:lncRNA from 1 species
AAUACGAAUGUGCAAAGAUGCAUUCCCGGUGACAUUACGAUGGUGAGGAUGGUGAUACGAACUCAAUACGAACCCUCAACAUCGGACGCACCUUCGGGGAUUUUUUAACAUGUUAAAAAAUUUAGAACUCUUCCCGAAGUUGUCCCCGAAGUCUAGAAAAAGUGGCCGAUGGUUCUACGAUGGUUAAAGAUGGCACUACGAAUAGCCCGAUCUGGAUACGAUCAGUCCCGAUUUUGAAAAUUUCCAUUAUCGUGUUGCCAUCGGCGUAAAAAUCGGGACAGUGUGACGCGGGCAUUAACGACAG